AUCACAAGAGGGAGGAAAUCAAGCUAACUUCCUUGUUAAAAUUAGCAAGGAAGCAAUCACUCUUCCAUCAAACAAGGGACGACAUAUAAAUGGAGAAAUUAGGGGGAUUCAUUUGCUAUUUUUGGCAUGGGAGGUUAAAGCAUCAUCAAUUAUAAAUUGGGAUUUCAUUCUUCAUCAAAGAAAGCACACAACACACCAUCAGAUAUCAAGUUUUUCGUAAGUGCUAUUGCCUUUCUCAUGGCUUGUUAAACACUUGGCUUUCACAAAAUAAGGCAAUCACUUGUUGAAUAAGAACAACUAAGAGAAUUACUUGAAGACAUAUAGAUGAUUUAGCAUAAAGACGAGGAGGGGAGCCACCAUGGAAAGCCGCAAGAAGAAGUCGUAAAUAAUCCCAUAUAGUCAACUAUUUACUCUUCUUAUUGUGAAAUGGUCGUAAAUAGCCCCCAUCGGCUACUCUCUCCUACCUUUCUCUUUACUGUUAAUUGUUGUUUUCUAUUUCAAGAGACAAGAUUGCAUCUCAUCUUUAUGUUUUCAAUUUAAUAUGACAUAACUUAAUUUUGUUUAUUCAAAAUGGAUAUGAAUCUUGAUUUGAAUUAAUUGGUUUUUGUUUUCUAAAUAAUUUUUGCAAAUGAUUAUUUCAUUCAUUUAGGUUUAAUUAAUUAUUAUACUUGUAAAUAUAUGGCCAACAUUUGUAUGUUAAUGAAUUAACUAUUUAAUUUGGGAAGAGAUAAUAGUUAAUAGAAAAAAGACCUAAAUGGUGCAUAUCAUGUCAAUUUCGGAAGAUAAUUGUCGUAUGCAUAUAUUGUUUAAAUGCCUGAAAAGGUGAUUUCUAGG
rnacentral:lncRNA from 1 species